UCUAAGGUUUCCUGAGGAAGGCUCGUCCGCUCAGGGUUAGUCGGGACCUAAGCCGAGGCCGAUAGGCGUAGGCGAUGGACAACAGGUAGAGAUUCCUGUACCAGUGCUAAUUGUUUAACCGAUGGGGGGACACAGAAGGAUAGGGAAUCGCACGAAUGGAAAUGUGCGUCCAAGCAGUGAGUGUGAGAAGUAGGCAAAUCCGCUUCUCGCGAAGCAUGAGCUGUGAUGGGGAAGGAAAUUAAGUACGGAAGUUCC
rnacentral:rRNA from 1 species